rfam:Capsicum annuum cultivar Zunla-1 chromosome 2, whole genome shotgun sequence
UAUUGGUGAUGUGGCCAAUCUCUGAAAAGAGACUUAAAUCUCUCCCAUGAUUUAUAGAAAUUUCUAUCUAGCUUUUUCUUAAAACUUAGGAUCUCACUCCUCAACCU